AGCAGCCGCGGUAAUUCCAGCUCCAAUAGCGUAUAUUAAAGUUGUUGCAGUUAAAAAGCUCGUAGUUGAAUUUCGGGAUUUGUCAGUUGGUCGGGCUUCACUGUCCGCAUUGACUUGAUGGAUUCUUACCUUCUGAAUAACCAGCAUGCUAUUAAGUUAGUGCGUUGGGGAAGCAGAUCUAUUACCUUGAAAAAUUAGAGUGCUUAAAGCGAGCUAGUGCUUGAAUAGAUUAGCAUGGAAUAAUAAAAUAGGACGGCAUGGUUCUAUUUUGUUGGUUUCUAGGAUCACCGUAAUGAUUAAUAGGGAUAGUUGGGGGCAUUAGUAUUCAAUUGUCAGAGGUGAAAUUCUUGGAUUUAUUGAAGACUAACUUCUGCGAAAGCAUUUGCCAAGGAUGUUUUCAUUAAUCAAGAACGAAAGUUAGGGGAUCGAAGACGAUCAGAUACCGUCGUA
rnacentral:rRNA from 1 species